CAAGCGUCUGGGGUAAGGAGUCUCGCUGCCAUCAUCCAGCCCCACUGAUGAGUCUAGGCAGUGACUUCGAGACGAAACGCAAA
rnacentral:hammerhead_ribozyme from 17 species